rnacentral:ncRNA from 1 species
AUAAAGGCAUUGAAUGGGAACAAAGUUGCUGAUGUUACCGAUUUUAGAGAGACGGCGGUUGGUGAAAGCCGUAGCGGUACAGCGAUAAGACUCACCCGGGAGCCGCGUUUCUGAACCAGCAGUAGGAAACGACGCCGGCGCAGCGUUAGGCGUUUAGAGCGAAGGCUCUGAGACAAUGAGGUCAAAUUAGGGUGGUACCGCGGUGAAAGUCGCCCCUAUC